GUGCUUGUGUGAGCGUGUGGUCGAGUGAAUGAGGGAUGAUUGUGUGUGAGUGUGUAUUUCUGUAAAAAUCUACACAGUGAUCUUAUUUGAUCUGGUCUGAGUUUGGCUCUGCUCAGAUCAGAAAUGAUAGGAAAAACGCUCGCGAGCCUCCAUGGCGAUGAACAGCGGGCGAGAUGUUUAGGGCCUCCACGCUUCAUGUUGUGGUCAGAGGUGAUGAAUUGAUCAGAUAUACUAGUUCUGGUUGUGUUUGGGUUCAUCUCAAGCGUCACAAUGGACAAUGAGUAUAGAGGCGAUUCUGAUCUAA